rnacentral:rRNA from 1 species
AGUGAACGCUGGCGGCGUGCCUAAUACAUGCAAGUCGAACGGAGAUUAAGUAGCUUGCUAUUUAAUCUUAGUGGCGCACGGGUGAGUAAUAUAUAGCUAACUUGCCCAUUACUAAGGGACAACAGUUGGAAACGACUGCUAAUACCUUAUACUCCGUAUCUAUAUAAGUAGAUACGGGAAAGUUUUUCGGUAAUGGAUAGGGCUAUAUCGUAUCAGCUAGUUGGUAAGGUAAUGGCUUACCAAGGCUAUGACGCGUAACUGGUCUGAGAGGAUGAUCAGUCACACUGGAACUGAGACACGGUCCAGACUCCUACGGGAGGCAGCAGUAGGGGAUAUUGCUCAAUGGGGGAAACCCUGAAGCAGCAACGCCGCGUGGAGGAUGACACUUUUCGGAGCGUAAACUCCUUUUCUUGGGAAAGAAUUAUGACGGUACCCAAGGAAUAAGCACCGGCUAACUCCGUG